AAAUUUUUUAUCGAGUAUUAAAAUUUUAUUUCUGACAAUGUUAAUUAAUUAUCUGACGUCAUAGAAGGGUGGUACCUCCAAUUAAAAUGGCAGCCAAAGCACCAGACUAUCAACCAGCGGAGAGGUGGGGUCACUCCACUGUACGGGUAGGAGACUACCUGUACAUGUGGGGUGGGGACCAGCCUGGUCUCCCUAGAGUACAUAAUAAU